GGACUGUAGUUCAGUGGCAGAAAGCUUGCCUAGCAUGCAUGAGGCACUGGGUUCAAUCCUUAGCACCA
rnacentral:tRNA from 1 species